CGGCGGACGGGUGAGUAACACGUGGGCAACCUGCCCUGUAGAUUGGGAUAACUCCGGGAAACCGGGGCUAAUACCGAAUAAUACUUUUUAACUCAUGUUAGAAAGUUGAAAGAUGGUUCUGCUAUCACUACAGGAUGGGCCCGCGGCGCUUUAGCUAGUUGGUGAGGUAACGGCUCACCAAGGCGACGAUGCGUAGCCGACCUGAGAGGGUGAUCGGCCACACUGGGACUGAGACACGGCCCAGACUCCUACGGGAGGCAGCAGUAGGGAAUCUUCCACAAUGGGCGAAAGCCUGAUGGAGCAACGCCGCGUGAGUGAAGAAGGAUUUCGGUUCGUAAAACUCUGUUGUAAGGGAAGAACAAGUAGCGUAGUAACUGGCGCUACCUUGACGG
rnacentral:rRNA from 1 species